rnacentral:rRNA from 1 species
CAGCAGCCGCGGUAAUACGGAGGGUGCAAGCGUUAUCCGGAUUCACUGGGUUUAAAGGGUGCGUAGGCGGGCAGGUAAGUCAGUGGUGAAAUCUUCGAGCUUAACUCGGAAACUGCCGUUGAUACUAUCUGUCUUGAAUAACGUUGAGGUGAGCGGAAUAUGUCAUGUAGCGGUGAAAUGCUUAGAUAUGACAUAGAACACCGAUUGCGAAGGCAGCUCACUAAACGUUCAUUGACGCUGAGGCACGAAAGCGUGGGGAUCAAACAGGAUUAGAUACCCCGGUAGUCCCUGUCUCUUAUAC